CAGCCGCCACGGGAAUACAGAGGGUGCAAGCGUUAAUCGGAAUUACUGGGCGUAAAGCGCGCGUAGGUGGUUUGUUAAGUUGGAUGUGAAAUCCCCGGGCUCAACCUGGGAACUGCAUCCAAAACUGGCAAGCUAGAGUAUGGUAGAGGGUGGUGGAAUUUCCUGUGUAGCGGUGAAAUGCGUAGAUAUAGGAAGGAACACCAGUGGCGAAGGCGACCACCUGGACUGAUACUGACACUGAGGUGCGAAAGCGUGGGGAGCAAACAGGAUUAGAUACCCCCGUAGUCCCUGUCUCUUAUAC
rnacentral:rRNA from 1 species